AGAACGAACGCUGGCGGCAUGCCUAAUACAUGCAAGUCGAACGAACUCUUCGGAGUUAGUGGCGCACGGGUGCGUAACGCGUGGGAAUCUGCCCUUGGGUUCGGAAUAACAGUUGGAAACGACUGCUAAUACCGGAUGAUGACGAAAGUCCAAAGAUUUAUCGCCCAGGGAUGAGCCCGCGUAGGAUUAGCUAGUUGGUGAGG
rnacentral:rRNA from 1 species